rfam:Schistosoma mattheei strain Denwood, Zambia genome assembly, scaffold: SMTD_scaffold0000949
AUUCAACUGACGAGUCCAAAAUAAGACGAAACGUGCGUACUGGAU